rnacentral:rRNA from 1 species
AAUUUUGGACAAUGGGGGAAACCCUGAUCCAGCCAUCCCGCGUGUAUGAUGAAGGCCUUCGGGUUGUACAGUACUUUUGGCAGAGAAGAAAAGGUAUCUCCUAAUACGAGAUACUGCUGACGGUAUCUGCAGAAUAAGCACCGGCUAACUACGUGCCAGCAGCCGCGGUAAUACGUAGGGUGCAAGCGUUAAUCGGAAUUACUGGGCGUAAACGGGGUGAAGGCGGUCCGGAAAGAAAGAUUGGAAAGCCCAGGCCUCAACUUUGGAAUUGCAUUUUUAACGGCCGGGCUAGGGUAGGUCAGAGGGGGGAAGAAUUCCACGUGUAGCAGGGAAAUGCGUAGAAAGGUGGGGAAAAACCAAUGGCGAAGGCGGCCCCUGGGAUAAUACUGACGCUCAGACACGAAAGCGUGGGGAGCAAACAG